AUUUAUAUAAUAUAUACAUAUUAUAUCUAACUUCCAAUUAGAAAAUCUAGGCUCUAGUAUAAAUA
rnacentral:tRNA from 1 species